rnacentral:rRNA from 1 species
UACGUAGGGGGCAAGCGUUGUCCGGAUUUAUUGGGCGUAAAGAGCGUGUAGGCGGCCAGACAGGUCCGUUGUGAAAACUCGAGGCUCAACCUCGAGACGCCGAUGGAAACCGUCUGGCUAGAGUCCGGAAGAGGAGAGUGGAAUCCUGGUGUAGCGGUGAAAUGCGCAGAUAUCAGGAAGAACACCCGUGGCUAAGGCGGCUCUCUAGUACGGUACUGA